AGUAACCUGCCCAUAAGAGGGGGAUAAUCCAUGGAAACGUGGACUAAUACCGCAUAUUGUAGUUAAGUUGCAUGACUUGAUUAUGAAAGAUUUAUCGCUUAUGGAUGGACUCGCGUCAGAUUAGAUAGUUGGUGAGGUAACGGCUCACCAAGUCAACGAUCUGUAGCCGAACUGAGAGGUUGAUCGGCCGCAUUGGGACUGAGACACGGCCCAGACUCCUACGGGAGGCAGCAGUGGGGAAUAUUGCGCAAUGGGGGCAACCCUGACGCAGCAACGCCGCGUGCAGGAAGAAGGUCUUCGGAUUGUAAACUGUUGUCGCAAGGGAAGAAGACAGUGACGGUACCUUGUGAGAAAGUCACGGCUAACUACGUGCCAGCAGCCGCGGUAAUACGUAGGUGACAAGCGUUGUCCGGAUUUACUGGGUGUAAAGGGCGCGUAGGCGGACUGUCAAGUCAGUCGUGAAAUACCGGGGCUUAACCCCGGGGCUGCGAUUGAAACUGACAGCCUUGAGUAUCGGAGAGGAAAGCGGAAUUCCUAGUGUAGCGGUGAAAUGCGUAGAUAUUAGGAGGAACACCAGUGGCGAAGGCGGCUUUCUGGACGACAACUGACGCUGAGGCGCGAAAGUGUGGGGAGCAAACAGGAUUAGAUACCCUGGUAGUCCACACCGUAAACGAUGGAUACUAGGUGU
rnacentral:rRNA from 1 species